GAAGUAGAAGAGAAAAGAGUCAACCAACACAUGAAGCUCCCAUUACAGGGUAGCACUGCACAUCACCAUUAGCAUGAAAGUCUUAUGAAGGGUAGCUUUUUACUAAAAUUCCCAAGCAAUUAGAGAGGAAAAAUGCAGCAGAAAGGGCAUCAAUAACAUCCGUCACGUUAACAACAAAGUGUUGGAAAUUUCCCCUCCUCACCAAGUCAGGAAAAUCACAAAGGCGCACAAGCCAAUGUUCUCUUUAUCCUUUCUCAAUUAUCUUCCUUAUUUUACAUUUAGUGUAUCUUUACAAAAGCUAUAUAUUAUUAAUGUUUCUAACAACUCUAAUGUGGUGUUUGUUUCUUCUAGGAAUUAAUCGCUCUCAUAUCCAUG
rnacentral:misc_RNA from 1 species